UGAGGAAUAUUGGUCAAUGGGCGGGAGCCUGAACCAGCCAAGCCGCGUGAGGGAAUAAGGCCCUACGGGUCGUAAACCUCUUUUGUCGGGAACAAAAGCGGGGACGCCGUCCCCGUCUGCGUGUACCCGAAAGAAAAAGCAUCGGCUAACUCCGUGCC
rnacentral:rRNA from 1 species